CCGCAGUGAAAGCGCUGCCCCCUAGCGACUGGAGGAUAGCCGAGCGUUCCCACGGGGCUGGUUACUACUCUCCAGACAGCAGGAAGACCAAUGGAGAACAGCAUAUUCAGAGGACACUUUCCAAUCUCUUCUCUAAUUCUGAGCAGACCCAGAUCUAGGAGUUCUAGGAGGUCAAACAAGACUCGAAACCAAUGAAUGAAGUUCAGUGCCUGUAAGUUACCGUGUCUGGGCUGCUUGAACCUAGGAACCUUGUCCCUCCUCCUCCUCCUCCCUCCACCAACGUGAGCUCCCCAUCGAUACCCCACCUAUCUUGGGCUCACUCUCAGGUGAAUCAGAUGCUAGAGUUUUCCCUCAUCGAUGUGGCUGACAACCUAGACUACAAAGUGUUGAGCUAUAUCCUUACCCAUGUGGAGGAGAAAGUGUGAGCUGCUCCACCAUUCAGGCUGCAACCUGCAGCUAGCUCAAUAAAGUUG
rnacentral:lncRNA from 1 species